UCGAGAAUCUUCGGCAAUGGACGCAAGUCCGACCGAGCGACGCCGCGUGCGGGAUGAAGGCCUUCGGGUUGUAAACCGCUGUCAGUGGGGAGGAAAUUCGGGAGGGCUAUCCCUUUCGAUUGACCUAUCUUCAGAGGAAGUGCGGGCUAAGUUCGUGCCAGCAGCCGCGGUAAGACGAACCGCACAAACGUUAUUCGGAAUUACUGGGCUUAAAGGGUGCGUAGGCGGUCCGGAAAGUUGGGUGUGAAAGCCCUCGGCUCAACCGAGGAACUGCGCUCAAAACUACCGGACUUGAGGGAGAUAGAGGUGAGCGGAACUUAGGGUGGAGCGGUGAAAUGCGUUGAUAUCCUAAGGAACACCAGUUGCGAAGGCGGCUCACUGGGUCUUUUCUGACGCUGAGGCACGAAAGCUAGGGGAGCGAAGA
rnacentral:rRNA from 1 species